CAAAAACAUAUUUCAAAACUCUUCUGUCAGGCCACAUGGUCAUCAGAGGUCUCCCUCAAGAGUCUGCAAUGCCCUGCCUGGUCACUGGAGCUUGGGGAACACACACAGUGCCAAUAUGAUGAACCUCAGUUGACGUCACGUAGCAACCAACAUACGGCUUCUCAAUGGGUGACUCGCUGAGUGGGGCAAACCUGUUGGACAUGCAAAUUGGGGAUGUGUCGUGCUCCUGUGGGCAAGUUGAAGCUCGGCUAUUUCGCCGUAACAUCACCCAUUCACCCCACUGCAAGGGCUGUAGUUGAGGGCUUGCUAACUUCCCCUAAGGCAUCCAGAGCUUGUACUUAUAGUUCUUCGAUAGGUCUAACACUUUCCAAGGUCUGGACGUGCACUUCUAGCACUAGACCAGCAUGUAGAACAUAAUUUCUCACAACACUAUUUCUCACUACAUUACAGUAUCACUGCACUAUCAAUAACCAUGGAUAAAGAAUAACUAAACAUGUUGCACUUAGCGCAUUGAAGGAGAAUGGAAGCGGCCAUGAUGGAAAAGAAAAACAUUAAUGGUACUUACGUUUUUGUUAGUUCUUUAGAUGUAGUUUGUGAUGAUAAAGUAGUUUUUUAUGUCAAUUUCAAAAUUAUCUGGUUGAACCCUUUCAUAUUCACAUUCUGCAUAGUAUUGAGUCUGCUCUCUUAAGAGUUGCAAAUGAUCUGAUCUUUUCAGCUGAUGUCCGAGUCCUCAACAUUAUUGGUUCUUUUGAUACUGUAAGCCAUUACAUACUAAUUUCUAAACUGGUUUAGCUCUUAAUUGGUUACGGUCAUAUUUUAAUAAUAGACAACAAUUAAUUUCGAUCAUACACAAUCCAUUGUUUCAAUUCCAUUGUUAUGCUGACAACAUUCAGAUUUAUAUUGAUUUCCUGUAUCACAGAUCUAAAAUUCUGUUUGCACAAUAAUUAAUUUAAACCUAAAUCUGAUAAAACUGAAGUUUUACUAAUAGGGCUUAAAUCUCCACUUUCUGGUAUCUCAAACCUAACGAUUGAUGUUGAUGAUGUUAGGUCAGCUCAAGUUUAAUGAUACCAGAAUGUUGACGCUUUAAUUUUUCCAUAUCAGUUACUGUAACUCUCUUUUUUAUGGUCUCUCUGCUAAAUUGAUCAACCAUCUUCAGUACUUCCAAAACUCAAACAGUGCUAUAUAAAUUUUAAUAUAAAUAUCAAUUUUAUAAUUAUUUUAUAUUAGUUUCCACUAUUUGGAUCCAGAUUUUGAUUACCUUUUUACUGUCCACACUGUCUCAUGGUUUCCCCUCCUCUGGCAUCGUGGUUUCCAUGGCAACACCCUGCCAUGCAUUCUUUUGUUUUGGUUUCUUGUCUAGUCAAAUGCUUUCUGCUUGUUUUGGUUUUGUGCCCCACCUUAGCCAUGCCAUCCACCUGUGUCUGCUUUGUUGUCCCGCCCCUGUGUAAUCUGCCCCAGGUGUCUCCUAUUAGUAUCUGUCUAUUUAAACCAUGUGUUUCUGGUUUUUAUUCCUGAUCUUUGUGCUAUGUUUGACUCUGUGUUUGCUGCACUAUGCUUGUGUUCUGACUCCCAGUUCUGUGUUUUUGCCUGCUUUUUUAUUUGCUUGUCUUGUGCGUAAACCUCUAAUUACGAUA